UACAGAGGGUGCAAGCGUUGUUCGGAAUUACUGGGCGUAAAGCGCGUGUAGGCGGUCUGGUAAGUCAGAUGUGAAAUCCCUCAGCUUAACUGAGGAACUGCAUCUGAUACUGUCAGACUUGAGUAUCGGAGGGGAUGGCGGAAUUCCUGGUGUAGAGGUGAAAUUCGUAGAUAUCAGGAGGAACAUCUGUGGCGAAGGCGGCCAUCUGGAAGAUUACUGACGCUGAGACGCGAAAGCGUGGGGAGCAAACAGG
rnacentral:rRNA from 1 species